GAGUGAACGCUGGCGGCAGGCCUAACACAUGCAAGUCGAACGGCAGCGCGAGAGAGCUUGCUCUCUUGGCGGCGAGUGGCGGACGGGUGAGGAAUACGUCGGAAUCUGCCUAUUUGUGGGGGAUAACGUAGGGAAACUUACGCUAAUACCGCAUACGUCCUACGGGAGAAAGCAGGGGACCUUCGGGCCUUGCGCAGAUAGAUGAGCCGACGUCGGAUUAGCUAGUUGGGGGGGUAAUGGCCCACCAAGGCGACGAUCCGUAGCUGGUCUGAGAGGAUGAUCAGCCACACUGGAACUGAGACACGGUCCAGACUCCUACGGGAGGCAGCAGUGGGGAAUAUUGGACAAUGGGCGCAAGCCUGAUCCAGCCAUGCCGCGUGGGUGAAGAAGGCCUUCGGGUUGUAAAGCCCUUUUGUUGGGAAAGAAAAGCAGUCGGUUAAUACCCGGUUGUCAUGACGGUACCCAAAGAAUAAGCACCGGCUAACUUCGU
rnacentral:rRNA from 1 species